GGUCAUUUAGAGGAAGUAAAAGUCGUAACAAGGUUNCCGUAGGNGGACCUGCGGAAGGAUCAUUACCGAGUUAGGGUCCUCUGGGCUCGACCUCCUACCCUUUGUCUACCUUACCAUUUGUUGCUUCGGCGGAUCCGUCCCCCUCGGGGACCGCCGAGGGGUCUAGGCCCCUUGGCCCGCGUCCCGCCGGUAGCCCACAACCAAAACUCUUGUUUAAACGUGUCGUCUAAGUACAAAACAAAUAAGUAAAAACUUUCAACAACGGAUCUCUUGGCUCUCGCAUCGAUGAAGAACGCAGCGAAAUGCGAUAAGUAAUGUGAAUUGCAGAAUUCAGUGAAUCAUCGAAUCUUUGAACGCACCUUGCACCCUUUGGUAUUCCGAAGGGUACGCCCGUUUGAGUGUCAUUGUAAUCUCACUUCAACAACUUUAUUGUUGUUUGAAUGUGGACUUGGAUGUUGCCGUGUCAUUACGGCUCAUCUCAAAUGCCUGAGUGUACCCUGUUUUGCAGCGUAUCCAGUGUAAUAAACAUUUCACUAGAGUUGGUCGAAAGACCGCGUUUGUAAUUUGGGCUCUAUGCUUCAAACCGUCCGCUCUGUGGACAAUUUCUUGACAAUUUGACCUCAAAUCGGGUGGGACUANCCGCUGAACUUAAGCAUAUCAAUAAGGGGAGGA
rnacentral:rRNA from 1 species